CCAAUAGCGUAUAUUAAAGUUGUUGCAGUUAAAAAGCUCGUAGUUGAAUUUCGGGAUCAGUUGGUCGGUCGUGCCUUGGUACGUACUGGCCAAAUUGAUUCCUCCCUUCUGACGAACCACGAUGCCAUUAAUUUGGUGUCGUGGGGAAUCAGGACUGUUACUUUGAAAAAAUUAGAGUGUUUAAAGCAGGCUCGCGCUUGAAUACAUUAGCAUGGAAUAA
rnacentral:rRNA from 1 species